CUGGCUGUAUUCUGACCAUGACAAACAAUGACAGAGCCAGGGCCUGGAUUUUAAUCAGCAAAAUCUCCCACGCAAUUGUCUCCCAAGCAUGGAGAGAGAACCAGCGCAGUGCUGUGGAAAGGAAGAAAAACAGUAUUAAUGAAGCAUUCUCUAGAAUCCACCUACAGUUGUCACUUACAAUAAAAUGAAUGAGAAAUUAGGGGAGAAAUUAAUUUAAUAUUGGAAUUGUUCCUUUGGUCCUCAGUGAUUGUAGGUAGCCCUAUGUGACUGCUGACAUUUUCAGGAGUGCUAAUGAAUUUGAUUGGGAACUAGACAUACACCUAGAAAACUGAAUACUUUGCUGUGUGCUUCUUUGUGUGUUUAGGUACUAUAUAGUUUCACCCUGUUUUUGGCAGAUAGAAGAAAGAAAAUGUGUACUGCUUAUUUAAACAUCAGGAGUAAAACUCAUAAACUCUAGACAGAAGGAUCUUCACUAGUGAAGCAGAACUAAAGACAGUACAACUUUGAAGGUUUUUUCCCCUUUCUAUUAAAGCCUCUGUUCAACAUUUGAAGAAAAAUACUUUUUUUUUCCCUUUCUUUUUCCACAUCUCGGCAUGUGACAUUAAAUGUGGGGGAAAAAAAUCUCUUGGCAAAUCUGUAAAUAAGCUAAACCUGGUGGGAUCUCUGAAGUAGGAAUGGAACAGAAGAAGGUUAUCAGGCAGGAAGAUCAGAAGAUGCUUAGAGAAGAAAACUAGAAGGAUCAGCAGUUACACCUCCUGUCAGGUGAGCAAAAGAAAAGGAAGUUCUAUGCAACAGUUCUUAUACUAAAGCCAAAGAAGGAUGAGCACUUCUUAGCUAUGAUCCUGGUAGGAGAGACAAGCUGAGAAUGAAAGUGAAUGUGAACUAACGGUUUGUUUUCUUAGGGAUAAGAACAUACAGAGGACUUUCACUCUUGUCAACAAUCCUAGGACAUAAUGUCCCUAGGGCUGUUUUUGCCAAAGCACGACUGUUGAAAAGGAAGUUCCUUCCAAGAGUAGAUGGUUUUCAACUAAAUAAAUACAUUGUACAUAAAGAUUUGCCAAGUAAUUUCUAAAGUCUCUGUACUAUGAAAUUGCUUUCUCACCAGCGACAAGUAUUCUACCACUUUGUUUGCUACUCACUACAUACAUAAUUUAUCUUAAUGAUUGUUUUUGUUAUUAGAAUUCAAACAAAUCUUAUUUAAUGAGGAAGGCCCUUUCUCAGAAUUAUUUGUAAUACAAUUGGAAAGCGAGCCAUUAGGGUGCUUUUCCAUAAUUUAUUGCUCUUGGCAUGCAAAUCCACCUCCUAAGAAUAACAUGUUUAGGAGAAAAAGUAUCUAUCUCAUCUUGAACACUAAAUAGAGAGCUGUAUCACACACAUACCCACCUGUUGGAAACAACUGUAGCAGUCCCACUAUCUGAUUGCCGAUGCAACCAUGGCACAUUUUGAGAAUCUAACUGAUGUUUACCCUAGGAAUUAUUUCUUCUGAAGAAAUCUUCAGAAAAGCUACUUUAGUUGGCUUUAGGUAGCAGUUGGUUUAGUUAGCAGUUUUGGCAAAUCCACAUAAUUUAAAGUUCUAUUUUUUUCUAAAUGGAAUUAGCAAGUUCCGAGAUAAUUUUUAAAUAGAAUAUUGCCCACAACAUUAAAAGAUGGGAAAAACAUUCUGUAUGAAAAGUGUUAAAAGUGUUGUACACAUGGAUACUAAAAGAUAGAUUAGUGAGUUGCCACAGAAUCACUAAGCUUUGAAAGAUAGCUUCGUAAGAAUAACUGCUGAAAAAGUAAAUUAAAGGUUUCCAGAAAA